UGCGGUUAUACAAAAAUUAAAUUAAAUUUUUUUAGGAUUUAAUAAAUAAGAAAUAUAAAAUUAAUAAUUUAAAUUUAAAAUUAUAAAGUGAAAUUUUAAUUUAAUUAAAAAUUAUUUAUUAUUAUGACAUUAAUAAAUUUUGUAAAAAACUAGGAUUAGAUACCCUAUUAUAAAAAUUUAAAUUUAAUAAUCUUGAAAUAGUAUAUAAUUUUUUAUAGAAACUUAAAUAAUUUGGCGGUAUUUUAGUUCAUUUAGAGGAAUCUGUCUAAUAAUUGAUAAUCCACGAUUAAAUUUACUUAAUUUUUAAUUUUGUAUAUCGUUGUUAAAAAAAUAUUUUUAAAUAAUUAUAAUAUUUUAAAAUUUAUAUGAGAAAUUAAAUCAGAUCAAGAUGCAGAUUAUAAUUAAGAAUAUGAUGGAUUACAAUAAAUUUUAUUUUUGGAUAUUAAUUUGAAAUAAAUUAAUUUAAAUUGGAUUUAAAUGUAAUUUUAUUAAUUUUGUUAAAAUGAUUUAAAAUUAAAAUAUGUACAUAUUGCCCGUCGCUUUCAUUAAUAAAUUGAAAUAAGUCGUAACAAAGUAGAGGUACUGGAAAGUGUUUCUAGAAAGAU
rnacentral:rRNA from 1 species